UUUCUUUGCUGGCGACCGGCGCACGGGUGAGUAACACGUAUCCAACCUGCCCUUUACUCGGGGAUAGCCUUUCGAAAGAAAGAUUAAUACCCGAUGGCAUAAUGAUUCCGCAUGGUUCAUUAUUAAAGGAUUCCGGUAAAGGAUGGGGAUGCGUUCCAUUAGGUUGUUGGUGAGGUAACGGCUCACCAAGCCUUCGAUGGAUAGGGGUUCUGAGAGGAAGGUCCCCCACAUUGGAACUGAGACACGGUCCAAACUCCUACGGGAGGCAGCAUG
rnacentral:rRNA from 1 species